AUUGAACGCUGGCGGCAUGCCUUACACAUGCAAGUCGAACGGCAGCACGGGUGCUUGCACCUGGUGGCGAGUGGCGAACGGGUGAGUAAUACAUCGGAACGUACCUUAUCGUGGGGGAUAACGCAGCGAAAGUUGCGCUAAUACCGCAUACGCCCUGAGGGGGACAGCGGGGGACCGUAAGGCCUCGCGUUAUUGGAGCGGCCGAUAUCUGAUUAGCUAGUUGGUGAGGUAAAGGCUCACCAAGGCGACGAUCAGUAGCAGGUCUGAGAGGAUGAUCUGCCACACUGGAACUGAGACACGGUCCAGACUCCUACGGGAGGCAGCAGUGGGGAAUUUUGGACAAUGGGGGAAACCCUGAUCCAGCCAUUCCGCGUGAGUGAAGAAGGCCUUCGGGUUGUAAAGCUCUUUCGGCAGGGAAGAAACGGUCUUGGAUAAUACCUAGGGCUAAUGACGGUACCUGAAGAAGAAGCACCGGCUAACUACGUGCCAGCCGCCGCCGUAA
rnacentral:rRNA from 1 species